AUUUAUUCUUCUUUUUGGAGUUCCCUGUUGGUUUAAUUAGUGAUUGAAAAAGGUUGUUUAUGCUUUUGGGUUUCCCAUCACGAAUGCUUAAUGGUCAGACGUGAAUUGAAAAAAAAAAAUCCACACUGGUCAUCUCGGGAAGAUAAUUGCCGCAUCUAGAUAGCUUUUAAUGUGAACAGUGAAGUUACAGCAGUUUUGAUGCUUUAUAUGGAAA